rnacentral:rRNA from 1 species
UGGAAACUGAUGAUAAAUCCGAGAUAGGUCACGAUUUUCUGGAAUGAUUCAUAGCCCAAAUCUAUAUAGCCACUGGAUUGGACUGCGUCAGAUCAGGCUGUUGUUGAGGUAAUGGCCCACCAAACCUGUAACCGGUACGGGCUUUGAGAGAAGGAGCCCGGAGAUGGGCACUGAGACAAGGGCCCAGGCCCUAUGGGGCGCAGCAGGCGCGAAACCUCUGCAAUAGGCGAAAGCCUGACAGGGUUACUCUGAGUGAUGCCCGCUAAGGGUAUCUUUUGGCACCUCUAAAAAUGGUGCAGAAUAAGGGGUGGGCAAGUCUGGUGUCAGCCGCCGCGGUAAUACCAGCACCCCGAGUGGUCGGGACGAUUAUUGGGCCUAAAGCAUCCGUAGCCUGUUCUGCAAGUCCUCCGUUAAAUCCACCUGCUUAACGGAUGGGCCGCGGGGGAUACUGCAGAGCUAGGAGGCGGGAGAGGCAAACGGUACUCAGUGGGUAGGGGUAAAAUCCAUUGAUCUACUGAAGACCACCAGUGGCGAAGGCGGUUUGCCAGAACGCGCUCGACGGUGAGGGAUGAAAGCUGGGGGAGCAAACCGGAUUAGAUACCCGGGUAGUCCCAGCUGUAAACGAUGCAGACUCGGUGAUGGGUUGGCUUCGAGCCAACCCAGUGCCGCAGGGAAGCCGUUAAGUCUGCCGCCUGGGGAGUACGGUCGCAAGACUGAAACUUAAAGGAAUUGGCGGGGGAGCACCACAAGGGGUGAAGCCUGCGGUUCAAUUGGAGUCAACGCCGGA